rnacentral:rRNA from 1 species
UACGGAGGGAGCUAGCGUCGUUCGGAAAUACUGGGCGUAAAGCGCACGUAGGCGGCGCAGCAAGUCAGGGGUGAAAUCCCGGGGCUCAACCCCGGAACUGCCCUUGAAACUGCAGUGCUAGAAUCUUGGAGAGGCGAGUGGAAUUCCGAGUGUAGAGGUGAAAUUCGUAGAUAUUGGGAAGAACACCGGUGGCGAAGGCGGCCAUCUGGACCGCAACUGACGCUGAGACGCGAAAGCGUGGGGAGCAAACAGG